ensembl:Y_RNA Y_RNA Y RNA
CUGGUCCAAAGGUAGUGAGUUAUUUCAACUGAUUGUUCAUAAAAACUGAACUUGUUCUCCUCACUACUGCACUUGACCUG